rnacentral:rRNA from 1 species
AACAUAGUUUUAUGUACUUAUAUAAAAUAUUUUCUGCCCAAUGUUUUUUUAAAAAAAUCAAUGGCCGCAGUACCUUGACUGUGCUAAGGUAGCAUAAUCAAUUGGCUUUUAAUUAAGGUCUAGAAUGAAUGGGAUAAUGAAGUUAAUCUGUCUUAGUUGCUUUUAUUAAAAUUUAUUUAAAAGGUGAAAAUACCUUUUUUAAAAAAUAAAGACGAGAAGACCCUUAGAAUUUUUAUUAUUUUUUUUGUUGGGGCGACAGUUUAAAAUAUAAUCUUAAAUUUAUUGUAUAUAUAACGAUUUUUUUAAUAUAAAUUAAAUUACCUUAGGGAUAACAGCAUAAUUAAUUAUUUAGUUUGUGACCUCGAUGUUGGACUAGGAACUAUAUGGCUAACCGUCUAAUUAGAUUUGUUCUGUUCG